CUUUUCACUGUUAAUACUUGCAUUUUUAGUGCAAUUCGGGGUGUUUAUUCUGGAUGGAAUAUGGUUUGCCUAUGAAGUACCACCACCAGAAGUUCAUCAUUUCGUUGUAUUUGUAAGUAGUUGUGGCGGCAUUGUGAAUGGAAUCGUAUCUUAUAUUAUUCGCAAAAGAGAAAGAGUGAUUUCGCCGACAAAAUCCAGCUUUGAGAAAUCAAAGAAGCAAAACAAGACUAAAACUGUUUCUGUCAGCCGCAUAUGAGUAAAAGUUAUCCAGCAAUUGAAUUGGAAAAGGGCACAUUUAAAUAAAACAAUACAUCGGAUAAGCAUUGUUCAU
rnacentral:lncRNA from 1 species